ACCAGGUGUCUCAAAUGCACAGCACAGGAAGCAGCUGGCUGCCCCGCCCUAAUCUUUUAUUAUGCAGAUAGGCUCGCUACCCGGCUGGCGCCAUGUUGCCCGGUUCUUCGCUGUACAAGUGGUGAGGAAGAAACGGAAGACGGAGCCUCCAUGUUGAACUUGCCUGGCCCUCAGCCCCUGUGCAGGUCCCUCCUGCUCUGUUCACCGCUAAACAUCAGUGUUCCUCAGUCUUUGUCAAGACUCUCUUCACUUAAAAAAAACAAAAUUGGCACUCUUACCCAUGCUCAUUAUUUUAACUCCCAAAUCCAGAUUCCCAGGCCUCUGAAACUACAUAUUAUCAUUGCUUUCUGAAAUUGUUCAUCUGGAGGUUCCAAAGUAAGACUUUAAACUCAAUCAUGUCCAAACUAUGCUUCAACUCGCUCUCCCCACUGACAAAUAAACGCUUUCUCCUGAACUGCGUAUCUCAGCAAGUAACAUUCAUCCAGUUUUCCAAGUCAGAACUGCAAAAGUCAUACUAACAUUCUUCCUCUCCCUCAUCCCCUCCCUAUCAAUUACCCUUUAGAUAUCCCUAUUAUUGGUUCCCUCCUCACCAGAUCCAAUGCCUGAGUGUGUAUUUAGAUACUCACAAUGUCUUACCUGGACCUGCUUAAAUGCUACCUCUUAGAAAAAGUCUUUCAGAAUAGUCCUAUUACGCUUCAUAUACAUUCACAUUAUAGAAAUUAAAACACCAUAACUCUAGGCCUGCUUCUCACUAAACUUUGAGAUAAUUAAGUGAAGGAGCUGUGAAACAGAUAUAUAGUCUAUCUCAUAUACAUAGAUAUGUAUUUACAUAUCUCCGAAGAGAGUUGCAAAUUACUUGAUACAUAUGUGGUGAAUGGUGGUCAUAGGAAAAAUAAAUGGAAAGGAAAGCUUAUGAUUUUCUCAGUGGUUGCUACAAUUGUGGAUAAUUCAUACUUUUCAAAAUUAAGUGGAGAGGUCAAGUGGGUCCGUGGAGUGUUACUAUUAAUCCUUCUGAAAGAAUUAGUUUAGAUGGAACUAUUGAGUGGCCUUGUGUCAAUGUCACAUAGAAAUAGAGCUGGACCCUUUAAGAUAGCGCUCUGCCAUCCAGGAAAAUUCUGUUCAUAAGGUCAUAAUAAAGCCUUCUGCUACUAUAGCCACAUCACUUGAACAGUCAUGUCUAUUCAUAAGCAAAGUUGUAUGCUUAGAAAGACUUAGGAUCGUGGAAUUUGAGUUUUGAAUAUUAUAAUUUCAAAUUACGUACCACUUACUAACAAAACUAUCAUAAAGAAGAAAAUUCAAUUCUACGAAGAAGGUAUUUUUAAUCGCCCCAUUUUCAGUGUGGUGAGUGAAGCACAGUAAAAUCAAGCAAUUUAUGCUAACUCUUAUCACAUUACUGACACUAAUUCAGAAGUAUUGCUUCCUAAUUCUAGAGUCUCCUCUUUCUUAUUGUGGUGACGUUUCCAGCUAACACAGGAGAGUCACAUAAAAUCCUUAAGUACAACUUCUGAUCUGGCACUUACAUCCCAUAUUUUAAAAAUUUCCAGUGUUAAUUAUUUUUAAUCCCUGCUCCAACUUUAAGUUUAUAGGUGUUCCUCGACUUAUGACAGGUUACAUCCUUGUAAACCCAUCCUAAGUUGAAAAUAUCCUAAUUUGAAAAUGCAUUUACUACACUUGACCUAUGGAACAUCAUAGCUUAGCCCAGCCUGACAUAAAUGUGCUUAGAUACUUGCAUUAGUCUACAGCUGGGCAAAGUCACAUAGCACAAAGUAUAUUUUAUAAUAGGGUGUUGAAUAGUCUGUGUAAUUUAUUGAAUACUGUACUGAAAGUGAAAGUAGAAUGGUUGUAUGGGUACUCAAAGUGCAGUUUCUACAGAAUGUGUGUCGCUUUCACAUUCUUGAUUAUAAAGCCAAGAAAUCAAAAGUCGAACCUGAGUGAAUUGGGGACCAUCUGUAGUCCCAACUGGAUCUCUUGCUAAGAGAGACAAAAUGACCUAGGAGUUCACAGCUAAGCAAGCCAGAUUCCCUUUGCUUCUUCUCUGACUUCGCAGCCUACACUCUAUUUUUUUUUCCCCCAAGAUUAAGCUUCUGUCUUGCCUUGUACUUCCAGUGAUGUCCUCUCUGUCUGGACUACAUUUGCCUUGGCUCCUUUACAAAGUAUCUCACUUCAAUUCAUUGUAAAAUCCUGACUGGUCCUUGGAUUUUAUCCCUUACUCCCAGUUGCCCCAUUUCAACACCUCUCUUUAUGGUUGAGUCCCAUUACCUGCUGGUAAAUGACUUGAAGUGUCUACCUAUAUGGGCCAUCUCACUCAUGCACAGGUGGAUUUGGCUGACUGGGGACGUCAGGCAGGAAAUCCCUUCUUCUUUCACCUCUGUGCAUUCUCUUAAAACCUGGCUGAAGAUGCUAAUCUUCUUAGGUGGGUUAGUAAGUAUGACAGCAGGACUGUCCACAAAAGUCUUCCUUGGAAAAAGUCUUGCUCCCUUUACGUGGUCCUGAGAAGGAAGGCAGUGUCAGGAUUUUGAGAGGACACAAACAGCUGGAGAGGAUGCCAGUCCUAACCUGGUGCUGUUGCAGCUGGAAAGAGCAGGAGUUGAAGAAUGGUGGGUUAUCAGCUAGGCAUCAGAGUCAAAGAAACCGAUUUAGGUGCGUUUUGCCAUUUACUAUGUGUUAACCUUGGGUACAUAACUUAUCUUCUUGAGGUCUGUUUCCAUGUCUUCAAAAUACAAACUACUUCUUCCCUGCCUGUUCUACAUGAUUUUUACAAAUGAUAUACAUUAGACAACAGGAAAAUUAGGAAAUCUCACGAAGUAUACUCAUUGGUAUCAUCUCAAAUAAUCAAAGCUUUAUGAUGAAGUUUUCCAAUCACAAUUAUGCCUAUGUAUUAAAAACAAUCUUACCUGAUUAGCAAUAAUAUGGGACAUACAUUUCUGGUUAUUAGGACUGAAUUCUGUUUUAUAUUUCUAUUACUUAGUCUUCUUCUAGAAGAUUUGAAAUCUAUAUUUCAGUUAGUAAAAUAUUUUAAAAUUACAUUUAAAUUAGUAAUUAGAUUUGUAAUAAAACAUUACAAAUCUUACUGCCGAAAUUUGAAUUUUACCAAUUAAAACUGGUAAAUGAACCAAUAUUUCUGAAACAGAUUGAAUCAAGAUAGCAGCCAGCAAGUUUUCAUUUGUAUCGGAAAGGCAAAUCUGAGAAUCAUUAGCAGUAUAAAUCACUGAGACAAAGAUUUGGGGGAAAUUCUCUUUUAAUUAGUUUUGGCUCCUGUCAAGAUGGUGAGCUUGGAUAGGCUGCUGGCUUCUUCCAAAAACAAUCCUAGAGGAACUAGGAGAUAGGCAAGGGUGGUGAAGUAGGGAGAAAGGAAGGGAGAGAGGGUGAGAGACAGUGAGAGAGAGCGGGGGAGAGGAAGACGGACAUAUUGAUUCAGACAGACAGACAUGUGAAUUCUAGGAAAAAACAAAACAAUACCAAAAGUGAGAUGUUCUGGGGAGACUGAGGCUGUCUUAACCUUGGAGUUAUGGACUAGAAGCACAGAAGGCAGCAAGGUGCAGAAGGCAGUGAGAAGGCUUGGAGAGAAACUGCCAAUGGCUAUGCUGAAGUGUGUAAUUACUGGUUUAAAAAAAAAAAAAA